UACGUAGGGUGCAAGCGUUAAUCGGAAUUACUGGGCGUAAGGCGUGGGCAGGCGGUUAUAUAAGUCAAAUGGGAAAUCCCCGGGCCCAACCUGGGGACUGCAUUUGAGACUGUAUAGCUAGAGUACGGUAGAGGGGGAUGGAAUUUCGCGUGUAGCAGUGAAAUGCGUAGAUAUGCGGAGGAACACCGAUGGCGAAGGCAAUCCCCUGGACCGGUACUGACGCUCAUGCACGAAAGCGUGGGGAGCAAACAGGAUUAGAUACCCUGGUAGUCCACGCCCUAAACGAUGUCAACUGGUUGUUGGGUCUUAACUGACUCAGUAACGAAGCUAACGCGUGAAGUUGACCGCCUGGGGAGUACGGCCGCAAGGUUG
rnacentral:rRNA from 1 species